AAGACCUUACUUCAUAGGAUCAUUUCUAUAGUAAGCUCUUCACGAGAACCUUCACACUAUGUGAGGAGUAGACGGUCACGAUGAGGAAGUGUGGCGCGGCACCUUGAGCGUGAGGCAGGCAAGUUCCUAAGGAUCUUAGCCCUCGUGGAUCGUUCACCUCUCUACUUGUAGAGGGGCGUGGGGUGUUGUCGCUGUCUGAGUGGC